ensembl:lncRNA
GUGUGUGGCGUGCAGGCCCUAGAGAGAAAGCACCUACACCUAAGCACCUCUCCCCUCCCAAUUUCUGGAGGCUCCAAAAAACGGAUUGGGGCCCCCACCAAAAGCCGGGACAUGAAACGGGUCAAGGUUUACCCAAAAUGCACAACCCUAAUAAAAACAAAUUGGAAAAAGAUAUUUGUUCUUAGAAGCAUAUCUCUUAUCGCUGUAAAACUGUGAUUUGUUUGUUUAGGAAAAUAUGGGGAAAAUUAUUGAGUAUAUCUUUAAUGAAGGAAAGGGGUACAAGCCAGCAACAAUGGAAUGAAAUGUUGGACUUGUGAAGCAAUAUGAGUUUGUUGGUCCUCAUGGCACAAAAUAAGGGUAAGGGGAAGAGGGGGGGGGGAAAUAAUAAUAAUAAUAAUAAUAAUAAUAAUAAUAAUAAUAAUAAUAAUAACUGAACUGUUUGUUGGAAAUGAAAGCUAUGGACUUGUCAACAUCAGAAGAGGAAUUUUCCAGGGGGAUUCAUUGUCCCCUCUGCUUUUCAUUAUUGCCAUGAUCCCUCUGUCAACAAUCUUACAAAAAACAAAUCUCGGCUAUCAAACAUCUAAGAAAUCUCACAAAAUUUCACAUCUGAUGUACAUGGAUGACCUGAAGCUGUAUGGGAAAACGGAAAAUGAAAUCCAGUCUCUGACCAACACUGUCUGAAUUUUUAGCACUGAUAUCAGCAUGGAGUUUGGUUUGGACAAAUGUUCGACAGUGGCAUUGAAGAAAGGAAAAAUCAUUGAAAGUGAGGGCAUAAAUAUGCCUAAUGGCCAAACAAUAAAGUGUCACCAGCCAGAGGCCUAUAAAUAUCUGGGCAUACUACAGCUGGACAACAUCAAGCAUGAACAUGUGAAAACUGUGGUCAGCAAAGAAUACACACAAAGGGUCAGAAAAAUUCUCAAAAGCAAGCUCAAUGGAGGCAACACCAUCAAGGCCAUAAACACCUGGGCCAUACCUGUCAUAAGAUAUACUGCUGGCAUUAUAAAUUGGACACAGGCGGAACUGGACAAUUUGGACAGAAAAACAAGAAAACUCAUGAUUAUUCAUCAUUCACUGGACUCUCGCAGUGAUGUUGACCGGCUAUAUCUGCUUAGAAGAUCAGGGGGCAGAGGACUCUUACAAGUCAAACAAGCAGUCAAAGAAGAAGAACAUGCCCUGGCAGAAUAUGUAAAGCAAAGUGAAGAACCUGCUUUGAUUGAAGUCAAAAAUCAGAAACUCCUCAAAGUACAGCAGACAAAAAACCAGUACAAGAAAACCACACUACAAACUAGAGCUGACAGCUGGCACAACAAAACAUUACAUGGAAAGUUCCUUGACAAAAUUGAAGGAAAAGCUGAUAAAGAGAAGACCUGGCUAUGGCUCACGAAUGGGACCCUGAAGAAGGAGACAGAAGGCCUGAUCCUUGCAGCCCAGGAGCAAGCCAUCAGAACAAAUGCAAUCAAGGCCAAGAUCGAAAAAUCAGCUGAUGACCCAAAAUGCAGACUCUGCAAGGAAACCGAUGAAACCAUUGAUCAUAUUCUCAGCUGCUGUAAGAAAAUCACACAGACAGACUACAAACAGAGGCACAACCAUGUGGCCCAAAUGAUUCAUUGGAACUUAUGCCUGAAGUACCACUUCCCAGCAGCAAAGAACUGGUGGGAUCACAAACCUGCAAAAGUAUUGGAAAAUGAGCACGCAAAGAUACUGUGGGACUUCCGAAUCCAGACUGACAAAGUUCUGGAACACAACAUACCAGACAUCACAGUUGUGGAAAAGAAAAAGGUUUGGAAGUCCCACAGUAUCUUUGCAUGUUCAUUUUCCAUGACCUUUGCUGGUUUGUGAUCCCACCAGUUCUUUGCUGCUGGGAGGUGGUACUUGAGGCAUAAGUUCUAAUGGAUCAUUUGGGCCAUACAGUUGUGCCUCUGUUUGUAGUCUGUCUGUGCAAUUUUCUUACAGCAGCUGAGGAUAUGAUCAACGGUUUUAUCAGCUUCCUUGCACAGUCUGCAU